UUAAAGAGAUCAAUCUAACAUAAUCUACUUGACAAUGGGGGCCGGAAACUGAAAUGCUUAAUCCAACCUGCAUAUUCUGGUUGAGAAAAAUCCUAAAAGUUGGUAGAUCUACCUACAAGUAAUGCUUGAUUUACCUAACAAGUUCUACCUAAAAGUUGGUAGAGUUGGUAGCACUAGCCCAAUAUUCAAAGAGUGUUUUUACUUUUUAUAUCGUUUGCGAUUCAACAAAUCGAAACGAUUGUUGAAAAUGAGUCGUCCGUUCGAUUAGAAAAGCAUGAUCACGUCGAUCCGAGCCAGAAAGGAAGGGUAUAUCACAGAAUUCACAGAACACUGUUACUUCUAAGUUCUAGCGAAGAACAGCAAUUUCAUAGUAAAAAAUGCUUACAAGGUACACCAUCGCUCCAGAUAAUGGCAUAGGUACUAUCGUAUGGCGCAAGUACAGAAUUUUAAGGAUUUUCUCUAAUUCCUGUUGAGAAAGAUUCUCUAAUUUCAUAUAGAGAAAUAAAUCUUCUUCUGAUAUUAUGCCGCAUGUUGAGCAUUUUCCUCUUCUUUUCCCUACCGUGUUUUAGAAAAGAACACAAAAGCGUCAAUAUAGCCCAGUGAAAAUCUCUCGUUAACUCUUAAGCUGGCCGGACAUAGAGCUGGCUGGAUAGACGGACCGCAUAAUGUAGUCGGCUACGACUGCUUGGAGCAGUUGUGUUCGACCGCAAAAUAAUACUGAUGCGAGUUCAUUUACAAGAUGGAAUUCGAUGAAGAAACACUGCUACUUGUACUAUUAUUACGCGAGCGUAGGCGUAGAGGACAGCGUAGUAUGUGGGUGCGUCCAAUACUACAAUCAAGAGAACAGCAUGGAAUAUUUCAUACUUUGUAUCACCAGCUGAGGGAAGACACUAAAAAGUUUUUCAACUACUUUAGUAUGUCCCUGGUUUCAUUUGAUGAAUUCGUUAGUAUUUUAUUUUAUUUGAGGGAGUGGCGUGCGGUAGACAGCAACCGCUUGUAGCGGUCCGUGGGCAGAGGCUAUUGAGUCCAAGGGUAAUGCGCUGGCGGUAAGUUUGGACAUAGCGAAAGCCUUCAAUCAGUUGUGGCACAGAGCACUUUCCAAAGCUUCCAGCCUAUGGGCUCCCUGAGAAAUGAUGGAUUUGGAUUUUUUGUUGGAUUUUCUUAAUCUUAAAAUUAGUUUAAUCUAAAUAACAGAGAAGAAUAGCAGCAACUCAAACUCUGCGCCAAAAUGAAAAACAGUUGUAACAAAAUAAUAAUAAUUUUUUAAUUUCUUUUUUGACAGAAUGUAUCGAUCGAUGAGCGAAGAUCGGUUCGCGGGCAUACGAACCAAAUGUUAUGUCACAUAACUUAUGUGACUAUCACUUUAUCAGUAUUUACUACUCAGAUCUGAGAUCGCCACACGAUUAAGUAUUGCUUUUGAAAUUCUGUUUACACGGAAACAAUAAAUUUUCUAUAGAGAGGCAAUGGUUGCCAAAGUGGAAGAGUAAGACGUGUGAAUGUUUAGACGAAGAAUUUUUUUUAUAUUCUUUCGAUAAUCGUACCUUCGAUACGAGAAACUCUCUCAAUCUAAAUGGGCCUUUACUUCGUUCACUACAAUGAUCUUUCGCCCUGGCCUUCAGACUUCAUGCGAUUAACCUCAAGCCGAGGUCUGAGUCCCCUAGGAGACGCUCACGCCCUUGUGGCUUGUGCUUGUCGUGGGAAAAGUCCUUUUCUGAGCUACUCCGUCAAGACUUUUCACGCCAAAAGCGAGAAUCCAUUUAUAAAAAAAAUCUAAUUAUUUAAAGUUACGAAUUUCAUAAUGGACAAAAACUUCGAACAAAGAAUUUGUUUUGCAACACCAAUGAAUACGGUGUUCGGAAUUUCUGAUUACAUUGCAGAAGGCUUGCGGUAAUAGAUUUUAUCCAUAAUGCGUGCUUAAGUUGAGGUGUGAUGAAAGAUUCGCCUCUUUCUAAUAGACCAUAAACUAACUUGACUAUUGAUGUACCAUGUUUGCUAUUUUGAUUUUCAACGAAGUAUAGAUAAUUUCUACUCAUUUUUUGCAUGUAAAUUGUUGACUCAUGAGUAUUAUGCACAUACAUACAAUACACAAUUAGCAACUUUUAGCACAUUACCUGUACUAAACCACAUGGUUGCUAAAUCACCAGUUAGAUUAGAUAAAUAUGUGCGUCUUUUGAUUCUGCUUACAAUAAUUUAGGGACCAUUUCAAACUAGCUACUACUGGGUCGAAUCUGCGUGAAUACCAAUCACAUUUAUACUGUAUAUAAAACAUUUUUAAAAACAGUUCUGACAAUUGUUUUAUCAAAACAUUUAUACCUAGACUUACUUUUUGAUUGAUUUAAUUAUUAAGGUCAAAAUAGACUAAAGUUGUACAAUUUAUUAUGGAACUGAUAUUAAAGUAUAUUUCCUCAUUAAGUGUAAAUAAGCCAACAAGUAAUAUAUAUUACUUUAAUUUUCUAAGCAGGUGCUUUAAUAUAAAAAGUGGCUGGCCCUUAUAAUAGCAUAAGUUUUAUUACAGUGCAAACAAUAAAUUUCUGAUUCAAACAAUAUCUAACAAUUAAAUAAGUACAUUUUG